CGGAGAGUCAGUCUACGGCUAAUUCUCACCAGAUCACUUUCCUGGGUUACAAUCUAACUGGGGGUCGUCUUAAAUUGAAGUAAUCUUGGUUUCAGGUAGAUACAGUUUAGGAGUGGCAAGCAGGACUCAUGGGUCAGCAGAAGCUGUAGAACUGCCAGCCAGUAUCACUCCAAGAAACACAGCAGCUCACAUGAUAGGAAGCCCUGCCUGGAGACUACACUACUGCAAGUAUUCAAAUGGCACAUUAAAUUCACCAACAAUGUGAAAAACCAGGUCACGUAAGUGACCCAAAUCAGCUUGGGAAGCAGGUUUUGGGGGGGGGGGGUUUAAUGGUUUAUUCACAGACUAGUUAGCAGCAGAUCCUGUGGUUACUUUCCUGAAAGAGGAAGUACUUACCUACUGGCCCAGUUUCUUAUUUGCACAAUGUCUGUGACUGUUGCAGUGGAAAAAGCUUGUGGAUUUGGUUAUUGUGCUCUCCUUCUACAGGACUUUAAGAGAAGCUUGUGAAGGUAGCUGGGGAUUUUGAUCGUGCUCUAACUCACUGCAGCCUACCCAGCACAUCCAGGCCGGCUUCAGCACUUCCAAGAGAACAUGCAGAACCAGCCUUCCUGGGGACAGGGACGCAACAAAUGCUGCCUCUAGCCAGGGCGUUCUGCCUUCCAUUCCUCUACACCAGGGUGUUACUGAAGGUGCAAGAGUGCACAAAAAGUUGCUUCAUGCACCUGAAAGACGAGCUAAGGGUUCUCCCCACCCAGAGUUGGGCUUUUCAUUGGGGAAG